rnacentral:rRNA from 1 species
UGAGGAAUAUUGGACAAUGGGCGCAAGCCUGAUCCAGCCAUGCCGCGUGCAGGAAGAAGCAUCUAUGGUGUGUAAACUGCUUUUGUACGGGAAGAAACACUCCUUCGUGAAGUAGCUUGACGGUACCGUAAGAAUAAGGAUCGACUAACUCCGUGCCAGCAGCCGCGGUAAUACGGAGGAUCCAAGCGUUCUCCGGAAUCAUUGGGUUUAAAGGGUCCGUAGGCGGUUUAGUAAGUCAGUGGUGAAAGCCCAUCGCUCAACGAUGGAACGGCCAUUGAUACUGCUAGACUUGAAUUACGAGGAAGGAACUAGAAUAUGUAGUGUAGCGGUGAAAUGCGUAGAUAUUACAUGGAAUACCAAUUGCGAAGGCAGGUUACUACUAAUAGAUUGACGCUGAUGGACGAAAGCGUGGGGAGCGAACA